rnacentral:lncRNA from 1 species
GCUACCGUGAAGGCUAUGAACUUAGAAAUGGAAAGCAUUUGAAGAAAUGACUUUAAAUCUUUGUGUACUGACCCCUAAUCGAAUUGUUUGGGAUUUAGAAGUGAAAGAAAUUUUAUAUACUAAUAGUGGUCAAAUUGGGAGAUGUUGUACGAAUGUCUACAGGACCUAAAUUAUCAACAGGCUCUCCACGCACGUUGAAAAUUCGUCUCGGAGUCGCUCCACCGACCGGAACACUUAGAGGAGCUUCUGUGUCAAUCACUUCUAUUCCUCUCAUCAGACCAUCUGUAGCACUCAUAGCUACAGGUCUAACUCAAUUAUUUCCUAAGCCAUUACCAUUUGCCUUUUGUCCUGGCUCGUUUUUUCUGCUUUUGUAUGCUCAUCAUAUUGUUUCUUCUCUUCUUGUUGGUGACAUUUCUUACCAGACCAAUGAUCUUUGUUUUCUGCAUGGCUUCCUCCAAAUUUCCCACUUAACCAUUCUUGUAGACUCGGGCCGGAUGAGGCAUCAGAAGCCAUAGAGUCAUCGCUUUCGCUGUCUUCAGAAUCAUGAGCGUCAGCUUUCCUAUCAAUGGUAUGAUCUUCAUCUUCUUCAUCAUUAUCAUCUUCAUCGUAUUCUGGUGAAGCAAUAUGAGUUGUCCAUCUGGACUCGUUACUUCGAAAUUCUUCAUUGUCUUAGAUUAUUUUAGUGGAAUCCAUCGUUGCUAAAACUACAAAUAAGAGAAAAAUACACAGAUUUACAAGAAAAGUUACAACUUUUUCCAAUAGGAUACUUGUACAUUGUGAAUCUGCAAUUUUCUAUGCUAAGAUCAUAGUCUUAUUUCAUGGUGCUUAUAAUAAAACCUUCAUUAUAGCAGAAAAAAUGAAGUCGUUAGCUUUCAGCAGCCCCAAAAAUUAUUUGGUCCUUGUUCCUAGAAGACACUUUACAGGCAAAUUAAUCUACUAAUGAACAGAAUUAAGUGGUUUUUAUAUUGAAGAUGCUUGGAAG